rnacentral:lncRNA from 1 species
AUGGGUAAAUUGGUUAUGGAGUUUUGUUUAUGGCUGGACAGUCGUCGUGUGUAUCAAAUAUGAAGCAGUUUGAAUUUAGCAUUCUGGAGUUAUAAGCUUUUUCCUAUUACAGCGUGCUGAUGGCGAAGGAUUCUCCUGUGUCAUGAUAGGCCCCUCCCACUGGCCAUGAUGGGUAAUUUGGUCAUCGAGCGUUGUUUAUGGAUGGACAAUCAUCGUGUGUAUCAAAUAUGAAGCAGUUUGAACUUUGCAUUGGAGCGUUAUAAGCAUUUUCCUAUUACAGCGUGUUGAUGGCGAAGAAUUUUCCCGUGUCAUUAUAGGCCCCUCCCACUGAUCACAGCCGGUUUUUUCUUCAAUAGCAAUUUGCUACCCUCUGUGUAGGUUCAUCCUACAGUGUUUUGAAGUCAACACGACAUAUCGUCUGUCCACUACAGCUGCUCGUGUAGGACGACCACAGAAGCGGCGCCCUCUGAGAACGCAAGGCAUUGUGGGAAUUUGCUCCCCUCUGUGUAGGUUCAUCCUACAGUGUUUUGAAGUCAACACGACAUGUCGUCUGUCCGCUACAGCUGCUCGUGUUGGAUGACCACAGAAGCGGCGCCCUCUGAGAACGCAAGGCAUUGUGGGUAAAUUGGUUAUCGUUUGUUGUUUGGGGCUGUACGGUCAUCAUGUCUAUCAAAUAUGAAGCACUUUGAACUUUGCAUUCUGGAGUUGUAAGCGUUUUCGUAUAACGGCGUACUUAUGGCGAGGGAUUUUCGUGUGUCAUUAUAAGCCCCUCCCACUGACCACAGUCUGUUGUUUCUUCAAUAGGAAUUUGCUCCCCUCAUGUAGGUUCAUCCUACAGUGUUUUUGAAGUCAACAAGACAUAUCGUUUGUCCGCUACAGCUGCUCGUGUUGGACGACCACAGAUGGCGAAGAAUUUUCCAGUGAUAUUUUAGGCCCCUCCCACUGACCACAGUCUGUUGUUUCUUCAAUAGGAAUUUGCUCCCCUUUGUGUAGGUUCAUCGUACAGUGUUUUGAAGUCAACACGACAUAUCGUCUGUCCGCUACAGCUGCUCGUGUUGGACGACCACAGAAGCGGCGCCCUCUGAGAACGCAAGGCAUUGAAUUUGCUCCCCUCUGUGUAGGUUCAUCCUACAGUGUUUUGAAGUCAACACGACAUAUCGUUUGUCCGCUACAGCUGCUCGUGUUGGACGACCACAGAUGGCGAAGAAUUUUCCAGUGAUAUUUUAGGCCCCUCCCACUGACCACAGUCUGUUGUUUCUUCAAUAGCAAUUUGCUCCCCUCUGUGUAGGUUCAUCCUACAGUGUUUUGAAGUCAACACGACAUAUCGUCUGUCCGCUACAGCUGCUCGUGUAGGACGACCACAGCGGCGCCCUCUGAGAACGCAAGGC